GACGAACGCUGGCGGCGUGCUUAACACAUGCCAGUCGAACGGAAAGGCCCUGCUUUUGUGGGGUGCUCGAGUGGCGAACGGGUGAGUAACACGUGAGUAACCUGCCCUUGACUUUGGGAUAACUUCAGGAAGCUGGGGCUAAUACCGGAUAGGAGCUCCUGCUGCAUGGUGGGGGUUGGAAAGUUUCGGCGGUUGGGGAUGGACUCGCGGCUUAUCGGCUUGUUGGUGGGGUAGUGGCUUACCAAGGCUUUGACGGGUAGCCGGCCUGAGAGGGUGACCGGCCACAUUGGGACUGAGAUACGGCCCAGACUCCUACGGGAGGCAGCAGUGGGGAAUAUUGCACAAUGGGCGGAAGCCUGAUGCAGCAACGCCGCGUGCGGGAUGACGGCCUUCGGGUUGUAAACCGCUUUCGCCUGUGACGAAGCGUGAGUGACGGUAAUGGGUAAAGAAGCACCGGCUAACUACGUG
rnacentral:rRNA from 1 species